rnacentral:misc_RNA from 1 species
GAUUAUGCUCUAUAAAUCACAUAAAAUUGAACUUCACUUCAUGUCAACUACAGAACAAUAAGUUUCAUCAAUCCUCUGGGAAACCUAAAUAUCUAUAUAUAAGUUCAGCAACUGGUUUCGCGUCACCUGGUUGAUAUGGAACAAGAGACCCUGGAUCCAUAUCCGAUAUAGUCUUGUAUAAUGUUUGUGGACGAGCACAAUACAAAUGUUUUCUCUCAGCCAGUUCUUCUGCGAGCUCGCUUUGAUGGUUGUCCAUUAGAUCCUCAUUGACUACCACUAUUAACGGUUUGCCCAGUCGUAAUGUCUCAAAUAUGCUCCCUGAACCUGCGUGGCUGAUAACAAGUGAUGCUGACUUCAAAUAGUCAGCUAUGCUUGAUGAAUAUGUGAAGUAAUCCAGAGCUGGAGAACCAUUUUCAGCAGUCGACUUUGUGGGGAUAUACAAUCCUCGCCCCAUUUGAAUAAGAAUAUCAGUGUAACCUUUCUUGAACAGUUCUUUCUUCACUUCCGGGGUAUCCACCGCUCUUACAAGAGCAUCAAAAGAAGUUGUCCCCACGGUCACAAAAACUACUCUCUUCUCCUUCGCAAUAUCAUCUAUAUCACCCAUUUAGAAUUUCCAAAUUACAUUCAACAAUUCAAAUCUUUUCCGGUGGAGCGAACUGAGACGACGAGUGAGAAGAGAGCUCGGUGGCCGGCAAUUGAG